AUUGACUAAUUCUGGAUAAUAGCUCAUUUGCACAAGUGUUUCCAUCCUUGAAGUUGAUUGGCUCACGCACGAGCAGCGCUUUGUUCUGAUUGGUCCACGUGUACUCUGCAUUAUGAUUGGCUGCAAAAGCCUGUGUUAGGCGCCAUUACCACUUGGAGGAGGGUUUUUGGUUGACGGACACGCUCAUAGAAAUUGCCUUUGUGCAGUGACAUUCUUAUUAACGCCAGUAUUUCUGGGAAGAGCUGGCAGUUAAAGUGUUAAAGAACUGUUUGAGUCAUAGUGAUAACCCCAAAGACUUCAGUGUAGUCUGGGAAAGAGCACUGGAGUUGGGCUUGUCACCUUGCAGAGUGAUUUCUACCUUCACAUGGUCUUCGCAUUGAUGCAAGGGUGCAGGCUGGCUACGUCAUGAGAUGUGCACCUGUCGUGACGUGACGCGCCUGUGGUGAUGAGGUGGUAAUGUGAAGCGUCAGUGCUACCUGCUUUGGGAUACGAUCUCGAAUGUCUCCAGGAAAGGAUUAAACCGCGUGCAAGAAUCCAAGAGAUUAUUCUUGAUGCCCUUAUUGAUGCAGGUGACGCUGGCACGUGGCACUGGUGGCCCUACAGUGUGACGCAUUUUGUAGUUGGAGAUACUGUGGGCUACAUACGUUACUCCCUCAAACAAAAUGAUGAAUAAAGUGUAGAUAAGCGAGAACUCACACAGUGUGUUUAGCCUGUACAAUAUAUGUAUUAUGUUUGCAUUAUAUUUCUUGAUCUUAUUUGUAUCUCUAUAACUAUGCCAUUGUAUGAUGCACCUAUCUAUUGAUGACCUCCCAUAUCUGUAUAUUUACUGCUCAUGACGUGGCAACAUUGUUCUUGGCCACGUGACCUAGCACCAUUGCCUGUGAGCGAGGUUUCCCGCCAAAUUUCGGUCACUCGGCGCUGGUCAACCACAGGAGACAGAUGUGUGCUCUCGCCGCCAUGUAACUCCUGAGAAUAGAACCUACGAGAUUCAA
rnacentral:lncRNA from 1 species